rnacentral:rRNA from 1 species
UACGUAGGGUGCGAGCGUUAAUCGGAAUUAUUGGGCGUAAAGAGCUCGUAGGCGGUCUGUCGCGUCGAUCGUGAAAACUUGGGGCUUAACCCUGAGCUUGCGGUCGAUACGGGCAUGACUGGAGUUCGGCAGGGGAGACUGGAAUUCCUGGUGUAGCGGUGAAAUGCGCAGAUAUCAGGAGGAACACCGGUGGCGAAGGCGGGUCUCUGGGCCGAUACUGACGCUGAGGAGCGAAAGCGUGGGGAGCGAACAGG